AUUGAACGCUGGCGGCAUGCUUUACACAUGCAAGUCGAACGGUAACAGGGUGCUUGCACCGCUGACGAGUGGCGAACGGGUGAGUAAUACAUCGGAAUGUACCCAGUACUGGGGGAUAACGCUUCGAAAGGAGUGCUAAUACCGCAUACGCCCUGAGGGGGAAAGUGGGGGACCGCAAGGCCUCACGUUAUUGGAGCAGCCGAUGGCUGAUUAGCUAGUUGGUGAGGUAAAGGCUCAACAAGGCGACGAUCAGUAGCGGGUCUUAGAGGACGAUCCGCCACACUGGAACUGAGACACGGUCCAGACUCCUACGGGAGGCAGCAGUGGGGAAUCUUGGACAAUGGGCGAAAGCCUGAUCCAGCCAUGCCGCGUGUGUGAAGAAGGUCUUCGGAUUGUAAAGCACUUUAAGUUGGGAGGAAGGGUUGUAGGUUAAUACUCUGCAAUUUUGACGUUACCGACAGAAUAAGCACCGGCUAACUCUGUGCCAGCCGCCGCGGUAACAC
rnacentral:rRNA from 1 species